rnacentral:rRNA from 1 species
UACGUAGGGUGCAAGCGUUGUCCGGAAUUAUUGGGCGUAAAGAGCUCGUAGGCGGUUUGUCGCGUCUGCUGUGAAAACCUCGGGGCUUAACUCCGGGGCCUGCAGUGGGUACGGGCAGACUAGAGUGCGGUAGGGGAGACUGGAAUUCCUGGUGUAGCGGUGAAAUGCGCAGAUAUCAGGAGGAACACCGGUGGCGAAGGCGGGUCUCUGGGCCGUAACUGACGCUGAGGAGCGAAAGCGUGGGGAGCGAACAGG